GAAUUCUGCAGAGAAAAAGCAGCAAAGAUUACAUGGGAAAACAACUCUGUGUGGAAACCAGAGCUUCUCUGAGCUGCUCUCCACUACCUAUGGAGAAAUAAAGGUGACGGUGGGGCUUUCUGCAUGGAAGUCUGCAUGUUGGCUCCUGUUUGCAGCACAAAGUUCGAUGUGAAUGCAGCAGAUUCUGGAAUGGACACCCAGCAAUUCCCUGGUGGAACCCCUCCAGACUUGUGUAGGUUGCACGUGGUGAUGGGUUUACAGUUGGACUUAAUGAUCUCAGAGUCAUUAAGGCUGGGAAAGACCUCUGUGAUUCUGUGAGGUCGAUGGCUACGGUGGCUAAAAUGGGCAAGAGGAAGACUUGAGUGCUCAGGGCUUUACACAGGGACCGAAAGGCCUUUGGCAACACAGAAAGAGCAGCCAACGAAGAGAGUUACAAAACAAAUCACUGCAGAUCUCAAUGCUUCACUCCUGCAGAGCCCACACUUGAUGGAGCUGAAGGCUCUGACCCACAAAAGGGCAUCAAACAAGAGCAUCCAAGCAGGUGUUCUUACCUUAAGUAGGUGAUGACUCCAACAGCCCUGAGGACAGAGGGAACAAAAAUGUCAGAUGCCUGUCCUUUUUGCCCUCCUCAAGCACACUGCCCCUUUUCCAAGGUCAUAAAUCCCCAAAGCUUUUGCUUUCACCCUUUGUUGGUUUUUAGUUGUUUUCUUUUCCUGUCUUGCAGCAUUUUUAUAAAACUGGUCUCAAGUAUUCCUCCAUUUUUAAAGCAUGAGUGAAGAAGAAGGUUCAAAAUACUUCUGUGGAGUUUGUUUUUCUUUUCUAGAGGGCCUCCUGGGGCCACGCUUUUGAGCUACCACCUAUUUUAUUAAAGACCGCUUUCCUUGGGACGCUUCUUUGCAUUAAUCAGCUGUCAAGCAUCAAUUACUGUUGACCAAAAUAGAAGAAAAAGGAGCUUUAAA